CCUACGGGAGACAGCAGUGAGGAAUAUUGGUCAAUGGACGAGAGUCUGAACCAGCCAAGUAGCGUGAAGGAUGACUGCCCGAUGGGUUGUAAACUUCUGGUAUAGGGGAAUAAAACGUUCCACGUGUGGGAUUUUGUAUGUACCAUAUGAAUAAGGAUCGGCUAACGCCGUGCCAGCAGCCGCGGUAAUACGGAGGAUCCGAGCGUUAUCCGGAUUGAUUGGGUGUAAAGGGAGCGUAGGUGGAUUGUUAAGUCAGUUGUGAAAGUUUGCGGCUCAACCGUAAAAUUGCAGGUGACACUGGCAGUCUUGCGUACAGUAGAGGUUGGCGCAAUUCGUUGUGUAGCGGUGCAAUUCUUAGAUCUCCCG
rnacentral:rRNA from 1 species